GCCUUCGUGGUGUAGUGGCAGCACGCUCGACGUGUAAACGAGAGGUCCCUGGUUCGAUUCUUGGUGAAGGCG
rnacentral:tRNA from 1 species